rnacentral:tRNA from 1 species
GUGUGAAUACCAUAGGGGCAAUGGAAUCGUUUUAGGAGCGGUACACGUAAAUUCAAGUUUUACUUCACAUA